UACGUAGGGUGCGAGCGUUAAUCGGAAUUACUGGGCGUAAAGCGUGCGCAGGCGGUUCGUUAUGUCCGAUGUGAAAGCCCCGAGCUCAACUUGGGAAUGGCAUUGGAAACUGGCGGGCUGGAGUGUGGCAGAGGGGGGUGGAAUUCCACGUGUAGCAGUGAAAUGCGUAGAGAUGUGGAGGAACACCGAUGGCGAAGGCAGCCCCCUGGGCCAACACUGACGCUCAGGCACGAAAGCGUGGGGAUCAAACAGG
rnacentral:rRNA from 1 species